UACGUAGGGGGCUAGCGUUGUCCGGAUUUAUUGGGCGUAAAGAGCGUGUAGGCGGCUUGGUAGGUCCGCUGUGAAAACUCGAGGCUCAACCUCGAGAUGUCGGCGGAAACCACUUGGCUAGAGUCCGGAAGAGGAGAGUGGAAUUCCCGGUGUAGUGGUGAAAUGCGUAGAGAUCGGGAGGAACACCCGUGGCGAAGGCGGCUCACUGGGCCGGUCCUGACGCUGAGACGCGAAGGCGUGGGGAGCGAACGGG
rnacentral:rRNA from 1 species